GUAAGGAAAGGAACAUAGCUUAGGGGCUGCUGGAGAGAAUCAUAGAAUAGGGUGUCCUGUAAACAGUAGCUAGGACUGAGGAAGAGCCACCUGCAGGAACAUCUGGGAACUGCAUUCCUGGUAGAGCUCAGCUUGGGGAAGUGGGGAAGAGCUUGGUGUGCUCAGGAAACAAGGCCAUUCAGGCAUGUGUGAGAUGGCAUCUUCCCUCCGGUUCCUCAGCCCCACCCAAGUUUCAGUGGCAAAUUCAGCAUUGAGAAACAGCCUGGUAAAACAGGUAAG